rnacentral:rRNA from 1 species
CAAUAGCGUAUAUUAAAGUUGUUGCAGUUAGAACGCUCGUAGUCGGAUUUCGGGGCGGGCCGACCGGUCUGCCGAUGGGUAUGCACUGGUCGGCGCGUCCUUCCUUCCGGAGACCGUCCCUACUCUUAACUGAGCGGGGGCGGGAGACGGGACUUUUACUUUGAAAAAAUCAGAGUGUUUCAAGCAGGCAGCUCGCUCUUGCAUGGAUUAGCAUGGGAUAAUGAAAUAGGACUUUGGUGCUAUUUUGUUGGUUUCGAACACCGAAGUAAUGAUGAGAAGGGACGGUCAGGGGCACUCGUAUUCCGCCGAGAGAGGUGAAAUUCUCAGACCAGCGGAAAACGAACCACUGCGAAAGCAUUUGCCAGGGAUGUUUUCACUGA